AGUCAAUAGAUACCCGGGUGGUCCACGCCGUAAACCGAUGAGUACUAGGUGUAGGAGGUAUCGACUCCUUCUGUGCCGCAGUUAAACACAAUAAGUACUCCGCCUGGGAAGUACGGUCGCAAGAUUAAAAACCUCAAACGGAAUUGACGGGGGGUCCCGGCACAAGCAGCGGAGCAUGUGGUUUAAACUUCGAAGCAACGCGAAGAACCCGUUACCUAGACUUGACAUCUCCUGAACUAGCGCAGAGAUGCGUGAAGCCCUUCGGGGUCAGGAACGACAGGUGGUGCAUGGUUGUCGUCAGCUCGUGUCGUGAGAUGUUGGGUUUAAACGUCCCGGUC
rnacentral:rRNA from 1 species